rnacentral:rRNA from 1 species
UACGGGGGGGGGCAAGCGUUUGUUCGGAAUUACUGGGCGUAAAGGGCUCGUAGGCGGCCAACUAAGUCAGACGUGAAAUCCCUCGGCUUAACCGGGGAACUGCGUCUGAUACUGGAUGGCUUGAAUCCGGGAGAGGGAUGCGGAAUUCCAGGUGUAGCGGUGAAAUGCGUAGAUAUCUGGAGGAACACCGGUGGCGAAGGCGGCAUCCUGGACCGGCAUUGACGCUGAGGCGCGAAAGCGUGGGGAGCAAACAGG